UCCAUCGCUCCCCGACAGCCGCUCCUUCAGAGGGAUGAAACGCUCCGAGAAUCCCUGACCUUUAACUUAUCAUUCGAGCGAUGUCUCCAUGAUGCGUUGUAACCAACAGGGCGUGCAAAUUAACAUACCGACCGAUCUAACACUUUCGUUAAGGACAAAAAAGCUUUAAAUAGUGACCAAAUUAAAUAUACCUACUGUUGUUCAUUUCAAUGAACGGCGCCCUUGAUAAAACAAAUACAUAUAUUAAGCUUCAUAAUUAGUUGCCGACCUUCUAUUGUUGUAACGUGAACUGUAAUUAGCAAAUAAAUUUGCCAAACUCAAUCUGUUAAACCAAUUUGGCCAUGAUUGGCGUAAAUAAUGAACAAGCUAAAGGUAAAUUAAUCACUGCGCCCGACUGCUUGUCCAUCAAACAAUUAGUGUUCCUAUAAUGUAUUUAUACUCGUAUAUGAAGCAGUACUUGCCUAGAGUUAUGAAAUAGUUUUCAUUUUUAUUUAGUCAAUGGGGUGGAGCGCGGGUCGGCGGCGCGACGUACGCACCGCAUGGCUAGGGUUACCACCAACAGAUAUAGUCUAAUAAAUAAACAGGCACCUAACAGCCUUAAUUAAGGAUCAGUAGUCAAGAUUGCUAGCAUAGUUUAAUCUAACACGGCGUUAAGCGUGUCAUGAGCCUUCCAAAAUAAAAUUCUUUAUCUACGAUAAGCGGGUGGUAACCCUGACUGUGGCGGCAGGCAGGGCCGCGCCAAACAGACAGCAUGCCUUUAGUUUGAGCGUGCAUUAUUAGAAAUGUUAAAGUAACUGGCAAUAAAGUAACCGUAGAACAACGAUGACACAACCCUUAUUAAAUAUAAUACAAAAUGCGCAUUGCUCCGUCAGCUGCAUGAGUAUUUUUGCACUUGAAAGGACGGCUACACACAGUGCCUAACGGCACAGAGGCGCAAGUUAUUUCCAAUUGACUGAACACCGCGUUUCACAGGUUUUCCAAGGGUUGUGUACUCGGUGACGUAGAAUAAGCUAGAGAUAACUAGGCUAUGAGGCGAGCGCGGCUCGCGAAGAGGGUAUUCGAAAAGCAAUAAUAAUGUAGGCACUAAAAUGUCGCGCACCGCAGUCGAAAUGACGCAGUCUUGAUAAUCCCGUAGUCCGUAGAGUAGAUCACCCGCGCGUCGACCUCACAGGAUGAAAAGAACACACAUCUCCCGAUUUUUUUAAAUACGCACCAUGACCAACCACAAAACUAGCCUAAAUUAUAAAUAAUGUUAUAAAUUAACAAGUUACAAUGUUUUGAGUCACGUUUCUUAAAUGAUGUGAUACAUGAUAAUUCAGUGUUGGUUACGAAAGUAAUUGGUUCACGUUAUUGAGUUAGAACCCAAAAAAAAAAUUCUGUUACCAUUUUUUAACAUCAUAAUUUUGGUUUUACCUUAAAUGUAAAAUGGAGUCUGUUAUCGGGAUGAAAAUGUGUGUUGUGAAGUCAUAGGCCAUUGAAGGGAAAGUUACCAGCACCAUAGUGUAUAGGAAUGUAGGGACGUAGACCAGGGUACUUUCAGGGGGCCUGGCCGUGCUGUAAGGUCGAUGACCCUUCUAUACUAUCAAUUGUGGUAAGUUUACCCUCCAUUAUCAACUGUUUUGGAGUCUUGACGCAGUUUGAUUUUGUAAGACCAAUUAUUUUUUCACUAGGUCUACAGAAUAAAAUGGCCUACGAGCUCAAGUUCCGUAAUGGUCCUACUUUGCUCCUUGGUGGGUAAUUAUGCUCCAAUUUAAAAAAUGACUUAACUUCUAAUAUAACCAUCCAUAAUAUUUCUAUAUUAUUAUUUAAUGUAUACCAUGUAUACUCAGAUGAACGAAAUUGUAUAAUGUAUGCAGUCUGUGGCCUGUAAUACGAGCAAAAAAUUUAACUGUAGGCUGUACUCGUCAUACAGCAGCAAAAAUACCUCCAACAAUGAAUAUCUUCUGCUCCUUAUUCAGAGCUUCGUUAUAUAUAAAACAACAUUUCAUAAAGUUGAUUUAAGUACCUAUAAAAUAUGCCACAUAAGAUUUCUUCUUCAUGUUCAAUUUGUCAGAAUAUUUAAAUAAUGAACUGUUUAAAAAAAUUCAACAUUUCCUUAAAGUGGAACCAAUUUUGGAGCAAAGUAGGACCAUUUUACGGUUUUAAAGAUCUUGUUUCCAGAGAGUAGACAAAAGAAUAACAUAUUUUUACGACAUUAUAUAAUUUCACUUGUUAUAAAAAUACAUUUAGGCGUCUUUGCGUUAUAGGAAAUAACAGUCCACAUUAUUAUUAACAUUACGCGAAAAUGUAUAACAAAGCGCUCCAUGUUUUUUUAACUGAAGUUAAUCAUGAAAUUAUUCUUCGAGCAAAAUAAAAGAAUGGGGUUACAUUAGCGACACUCUGGGGUAACAUUAUAUAUACAAGUUAACAUUAAGUAGCCAGUUAUAGGGAAAAUUUACCACAGUUGAUUUUAAGUAGUUAGUGCCUCACAAGUCAAUUCGUCGUUGGUGGAUUUAAUUUAAGCCUGUCAAUUACCGUCUUUUUAAAAGAUGUAGUUCCUGUUUCAAUUAAAAAUCUGAUUAACUAAUUUAGUUCAGUUGAAGUGUUCUAAAUGGUUGUUGUUAUUUUGGGGAAGGCAACAAAAAGGGGUAUGAUGUUUUAAUUAUAUUCUGACUUCUUGGUUUUGAAGUAUCUAAAUGAGUGGGAUCACGUGAACAUUGGUUCGUAAGGUAUGAAUAACUUCGAAAUAAAAUGCACGAACUUUGUCACAAAUAUUAUAAGAUACAGGCAUGUAACCAAGUAUUAAGCCAGCAAUUGUUGGUACAAUUUUACUGUAAAAACCAAUAAUUUUGAUACAUUUAAGAAAAUUGUUAGUCUAUGUUUACGUUGCUGGUUGCCAUUCCCCUUUAAACCACCGCAAACAGUUUGGACCGUCGGAGAGCUCUGCGUGUUGGAGAUCGAAGCACGCCCUGCGUCUGACUCUAGCGCAGAGAUCGGUCUCUCUCUGCGGCUUCCGUUGCAUGGACUAACACAAAGCCUAGGGAGGCACUGGACUCGAUCCUAGACGUAUAUUCCCAUUCCUACUAGUAGUUGUAGUGCCACAUUUUAAAUCUAGUAUUUAAUAUUUCCCCUAGUAAUCACUAUUGAGUAUCAUUUGGUUUACCUUUUUUGAUAGUUUUAACUGACGAUGGUCGCGCGUAAAAGCAAUAUAAUGUAAAUGAAUAAGCAAUACUAUUGUAGGAUAUAAUAUGUAGUACGUAUUUAUUGUUUAAUCGAGAAAUUUUGUAGAUUUUUAGAUAUUUUUGGUGCUUUGGAGUACUAUAUUGAAAUUUGAAUCGAAUCUGACAUCGAAUAUUGAGUAAAUUAUAAAGUAAUUGUUUUUAUUAUUGACUAGGUGGUAGGUUUAUAUCUGUUUCGAAGUUCGUUUCUCUUUCUCCUUCUCAGUAGAACUAUCUGCGAGUACUCCUUCGCAUCUCCCUCGAUCUCUUAUAAACUCUAGUUGUCCUGUCCCGAUCGUCUUAUGUACUUAGAAAUCGCAAGAUGCUUUUAAAUAAAAGUCUAAAGCAAAGUAUUUUAUUCAAAUAUUUAUACUAACGUUAUUGUAAUUGUAGCGAAUACGAAUAAGUAACGUAACUAACGAAACCAACUUAUAUACAAAAAUAUAUACAAUUAAUUGUAAAUAUUUCCCUGUGUACCAAAAUUUUCCUUCUUUACAAUUUUUGUAGGUGUAGUAUUAAAUACCUUUUAUAGUAGGUAAAAAGAACAGUUAUAUAUAGAUUAUAACUUUAUAACUUAGUGAGUCACGUCUAGUCUCGUUAGUGUACACGGAGACUGCUUUGCUGCGGUGAAUAUCGCAAAUGGCAGAUACACUGCAAAGCGGUCGAGCCACUCAUAAUUAAUGUAAUUGACAUUUAAGCAAUAUUGAUAAAAAAAGAAUCAUUGAGGUUUCCAGUAAAAAUGAUUACAUGAAGUGCUUAAGAUGUAUUAAAAGUCACUGACUUUUAAAAUAUAACUGACAUUUAUAUAAAAAUGAAAUUAACAUUUAGGUACCUACCUACUGAUCAAAAAUUUGUCAGUAUGGAUUUCUCAACGAAGUAUGAAUUCUACAACGAAGAACAGGUGAAAAACAAUGUUACUUAAAUUAACGGGAUAAUUUGAUUGCUUGUUUGAAUAUUAUGAAUCUAAAUGACUUUACAUAAGUACAUAACAUCAAUGUUUUCUGUAUGGGCUACAACGAAUAAAUUAUUACAUAUAAAUUAUAUUCUAAUACCUAAGUACGUACUGCCCGUCAAUCUAAGUAACGUAUACAACAAAAAAAAAAGAAAAAAGAUGAUAGGUAAGAUUGCAAAUACAGUGAUAAACAAAAAAUGUCCAAACUAGCAAUACACAAUUAACUUAAGCAAUAAAUACAUUAGAUUUAAUGUGACUACUAGGCCAUUACUAGCAUAUAGCAAUAUAUUAUAAGACUAAUAUUCUACAAGAGCAAUACCGAAGCAAUAUGCAAAUGUAAUUAAAAUAAGACAAAAGUCUUAAUUUACCAAAUGUUGCUGAUAAGUAGACUGUAAACAAGUGAUAAAUAUAAAUAAAAUGUGAAAAAAAGUCUUUUAAUUGGAAUCAUGAAUUAAGUAUUUAUACAUUGGUUUGAUAAUAAAUAUUCAAUUUACAUGUCAUUUUGAAAUCAAGAAUUAAAGCUAAUUAGUUUCUUUGCAUUGAAUGUCGUAAACUUUUUAAAUUGUUUAUUAGUUUUAGCUUAGUAAUAAAGUAUAUGCAAGCUUUGAUCGGGAUCCAAUACCUUGUAUAUGUAUACAAAUAUGUAUAAUGUCUCCUCCAUAUAUUGUUAUAUUCUUUACGUCGAAAUAAAUUAUCUGCACUAAGUAAUCUACUUCUGUGCAAAGCGUAAGGACGUAGGCUGUAGACGAAAAGUCGUUUAAAUGAAUUAAUUAGUUGAAAAUUAAAUUAAUAUUAUUUGAUGGGACAUUCAUCGAAUUGUUGAGAAGUUAUUUACUACAGUCGGUAGAACCUCAUAUAUUUUUUGAGUCGAGUAGUUCAACAUGUCCCGGUCGAGGCACGCAUAUACAGACACAUUCCAAUAUUUCCCCCAAUGAGCCUAUUAUGGUUUAACUGUACGAUAACUUCGAAAAACCAAAUAUUAUGUAAUAAUUCACCGAUUGUGAUGCGAGAUGUUAAAAGCAAUAUUUACAAAGUGUUUGUCAGUGAAUUUGGGAUAUGAUAUAUUCAGAGGCUUGUAAAUACACAUUAAUAUGGAAAAAAAUAAAACUGUUUCAUCCUAAUUAUAUCUGAUUGAUAUAUUAUGUACAAGUAUGGCAUAGAAAAAAAAAGUAUAAAAAUGUUGAUCUAAUAUUUCCGAUCCAUUGACUGUAGAUAUUGGCUUUAUUUUUCAAGCCUCUGAUGAGAUAAGGAAGAGUUAGUAUUACUAAAAGCAAUAAAAACAAGCAAUAUAAUAUCGAAGUUUUACAACGAAUCUUUUACUUAUAGUUAUUUUGCGUGUACAACGAAAUAAAAUGUUUACGUGUAGCACUAUAAGAUGGAAACAAAAUGAUCCCCGCAGAUAAUCAUAAUAGACCUACAUAUAAUAGAAAGCUCAUCGCAAAGUAUGCCUUACAAUUUACAUAAUUUCUGAAGAUUACUAAAAUAUGGAAAUGUAAUGUUAUUACAGAUGUCCGGAAUUUCUUUAACAUUUCGCAAGGGUUAUGGAGAAACUACAAAAGCACGGUUGUGCCUACACUUAUGUAUGUAGCGAUUUACACGAAACUUUCUGUAGAGAGUGCAAUUGCAACUCGGGGAUCAUUUUGUAGAACUAGCGAGACUAAUCCUAUAGAGUGGUCCACGACAAUAUGGCAUACAACAUAAAAUUGUAAGUAGUUUUAGAAAUAUUAUAGGCACAGUUGUCGUGGGCGUCUCUAAUUUUGGAAAGAUUUUUAUGGUUAAAAUGAAUUUUGAUCACAAGGGAUCUACGAUGUUUUAAAUAAGGAUCACAUGUCGCAGGUAUUUUUUGUGACGUGCAUUUUUGUGCUGUGUAUAUUAAUUAGUUUAAUGAAGGGCUUGAUUGUUAUUAUGUCUAAGUUUUAUUUGUAAAUAUCUGAUUUUACACAGUGACUAACCAAUGGCAAUGCCGCAUAUUAUGAUUUAAAAUUAAUUAUUAAGGGUGAGGGAAAUUAACUAAUACCUACAUUAUUAUUAUUUUAAUAAAAAUAGAUAUUCAAAUUUACGUAGGUAGGUACAGAAGUACCUUAUAAACAAAAGAUUGUUACUUUUUCACGAGUGUACAUUAAUGUAUUUAUGUAUCAGAUGUACCUAUGUACCUAUACGUUAAAUGUGCAAUAUUCAUUUAGUAUUUGUAUUUAAUUUAAAUUACCUAAGUUUGAAUCUUAUAUCGGUGCCUAAUAUUCAUUUUGUAAACACGUAGCACUGUGAUCAUGUAAAUUAUUACGGUAUAAUUAUUUUCUACAAAUCGCUUUUUGAACCAGGAUAAUCUAGCCUGUAGAAGGCCUAGUCAUUUAGAUUUAACAAGUAUUAUACCAUUAGAUGUAGAGUGAGGUGACGGAGUAAUGUGAUGCAAUCGUAGCGGUCGAGUAGGAAACAUUAGGAUGUGAAAGGUAUAGUAUAAUACACAGAAAAUUACUAAAUUGCCUUAUUUUUUGUGCGAGUGACCAAGUUAAAAAAUUAUUCCCGUUUUCAAGCAAUUUCAUGGGAUGGACACAAAGCAAAUCAAAGCUCAGUCAUUUUGUUAUGUAAAGGAAUUGAGAUGAAUUGAUCUAGAUCUUAAAUGUAAGGAUAAAAUAUUGGACAUAUAAGUAUUCACUUUACUCUAUACCUACGCACAUAUUAUAUGUGUUUAGGGUUAAAAAUCGUUCACUCGUACAAAAAGUUUGAAAAACCCUUAGCGUCCACAGCUAAGAUGCCGUGCAAUCGCUAUAUUUAAGAAGAUGUCGACCAAAUUCUCUAAUGAGUGUCUUUGGUAGCCUGACCCUGACCAACGGACGUACUUCUAAGGCCUUUGCGCAAUGCCGCAUAUUGUUUGAUGUUCGUCGUCUUUACUAGAAUAGAAAAGAAUAGAAUCCUUUAUUGCGAACCAUGGUACAUAAUCAAGUUGUUACAAUAAAAAUUUUUAGAACACAUGGCACCCUGGUAGGGCAUUGCAAAUUAAUCUUAUGUCUAGUUAUUUAUGGAACAUUUUUUUAAACUAAAUAGUGUUACGUAAUGCCGGCUACAUACGUAACGAUAAAUCGUUGCGAUAAAACUGUGCAGUCCGACUGUGCAGAUAAAUUUAAGUUAGCCGAUUAGCCGGUCCUGCUAAUUCAGUCUUAAAAUGGGUCUUCUUUCAUUAUUAAUAAUCUAUACACAUUAUUAAUCAAGGUCCCCCGCCGCGUAUGUAUGUUCGCUAUAAACUAAAAAACUUCUCAAUGGAUUAUCAUGCGGUUUUCAUCUUUCAAUACUUACUUAGUGAUUCUUGAGGAAGGUUUAGGUGUAUACUCGUACUUAAUUUGUUAAGGUGUUGUGUAACCCGUGCGAAGCCGGGGAGGGUCACUGAUUUUCUAAUAAUCUAAACUAAGUAAAGCUCGUUAUAUUUCAAAAUUCUGCUACCGUACUCUAUGCUUUAAAACAUAAUUUUGUGUCAGAAGUAGGUAUCUAUACAUUUACCUGUGUUUUUAUUAGUUCACAAAUAUACAACAGUUGCACUAAGACAUUACGUGGCAUCGCGCAAAGGCUUUUAGGAGUCAUACCCAUGUACAUUAAUGUAAAUAUAAGUUUAUUUUCAGCCCCAGUUCUGUCGUACCUUUCGAAAAUAACCAUUAAUCGUAGAACGUCAAUUUUUAAUUCAUCUAUUCCUUCCUAAUAAGCAAUUAUUAUAGUACCAAAAGUACCUACAGAGUUAGCAUAACAUUGCAUGGAAUAUAUAUUAUUAUAAAAUAUUAUAGCAAAUAAAAACGUAUGUAAAGUAAGCAUAUUGAAAUAUUUAAUUAUUCUUACUGUUGCAUUUGAUCUGUCGAAUUUAAAUUAUGUUCCUAACAAUUUAUUUUACCAGCAUUAAAAAAAUAGAAGUAGCAGUAUGCAAGUUUUGAUAGAAUAGUCCGGAUAUCCUCUAAUAAUCCAUUCAAUUAAUUAAUAAUAUAAUAAUAGCGCCACAAAAUUUGUACUUUUUAAUUACUAAAUAUUUGAAUUUUAUUUUAAGUAGAACCUGAAAUAAUGAGAAAUUUAAUAUUAUUAAAUUCUUAUCAAUAAUGUCUGCUUUAUUAAUUCGAUUCUCAUAAUUAAACUUAUUAACCACAAAGUAGCCAAGGUUCUACUCGUUACAAAAAUACAAUAAAAUAAACACACUUGAAAAACACCAAUAUACCUACUCAUACUUACAUAAGUUUUUUGAGGCUCUUACGAUAAAUAUCUACAAUAAAUAACAAUUUAAUUAAAUAGUGUCAUAAGUGUCAUAACUAAACUUUAUUAUGUUUAAAUACAAAAAAUAAAAAAAACAUACAACCGAAUUGAAUAACCUCCUUCUUUGAGAUUUGGAAGUCGGUUAAAAAGUUAAAUAUAUAAAUUAAAUAGAUUUCUAUUGGGUUCGCCAAAAAGUCUACUGAUACGUCAGUGAAUCCAAUAUGACUAUAGGUAAGUAUACCGUACCGUGUAACGGCCUUUAUUUAUGUGUAGUUAAUCGUUACAAUCUGCAUUAACCAGACAAUUUCCGCGCCACCCUUCAUCAAUAUUCGUUUACGUCAAGGUAAUAAUGGCCUAAGUGAUAAUUGAUGUGUACGACAUAUGUACGUUUUGCAACACAGGCAGUCAACUGAAUAAAAACCUGGUGAGGAAACCUGUUUGCAGUCGCGCAGAAUACGAAACUGUUCUAAUGGCAGCAUGCUUUUUGUUAUUGCCAACAAAACGAAUCCUAGUUUCGAUCAAACAAUUUAAAUUGGACAACCCUUGUUAGCCUAAGUCUAACAUUGGCACAAAACACUUUUUCCACCAGUUUAGCCCGAGCCUUUCGUUGAAGCUCUAUUUUUCAUUUAGGUAAAUACCGUUCGGGCUCGCGCCUCCAUCCGAAAGCCUUUGUGGCCAGUAACAAAUUGCUGCUGGAUUUAUGGCGCUUCAAUUUAAAUGGAAACGUCAAAAUAAAAGAACGCCUCGGAACCGAAUUGUUGCAGCUCUCAGAGCAAUCGUCGACAUUGAAUACGCAUACGAAUCCAACAAACAAUAACCAUUUAACGAUACAACGGAUUAUUGGACACGUUACUGUCUACAGAGUUUUAUCACCUUGGCUGCCAUGGGAGUAUCGUCUUGGGUCGUCCCAUUCGUUUUUCGUCAAGUUCUUAAAUUAGUCCUAUUCUGCUUUCGUCACCCAUUCUACAUUCGUCACAAUCGUCGUCUUUCAAUGUCGAAUGAGUGACGAAAGCAGAAUAGGACUAAUUUAAGAACUUGACGAAAAACGAAUGGGACGACCCAAGACGAUACCGCCAUGAGCAUCACCAGUGAGAUCACGAUCAAAAGCUCGAUUACCUAAUAGUAAUAUUCCGAUGCUGUGAGCAUCACCGGUGGGUCACUUAAUGUGUAUGGGGCGUGGGGGCAACAUUUUAGUAAAGUACGGUGGGCAGCCAACGUAAUUGCCUACUAAGCGAGGCGAAGGCUAGUUUUAAUAAGGAAAUGUCCGCGAACGGUUAGUACGUACCUAUAACAACUACCUGUGGAUAAAAGAAUAUAAGAUGACCCUAAGCGUUUAUGUAGUUACAGAACAUUCUGUGUACACUUAAUAUAACAUAUACCUAACUCAAGCGCAUCACUUUCAUGGGUAGGUAUAUUUGGCGAAUUGGAAUUCCGGAUAAUUAUUUGGUGAUUUCUACCAGAAAGUGUUUCAGAAUAGUGUUCCAGUAUUGACCCGGACAUAAGUCAUAAUUUUAACAUGGCACAUUAGACAUUACAUCUCAUAAAUAAAAGUUAUUUAUAAUAAAUACGUAACCUAUACAAUAUUUUGCAAAAAAUGUUGCCUUUGGUGAACUAGCUUCAGAACUACUGAAAUACUCUUCAAUAUUAAUUAAGAUUGGCCAUUAAAGUAUGGUUUAAGUUUUAAGUAAAAUAUGAUUUCAAUACAACACCAAAAAAAACAAUACAUGUUUUUGUUAAUUAAUAUUUUUAUUAUAGUUUCCUUUAUUUUGUGCUGUUUGUAAAAGUAUGAAUCAGAAAUUAAAACCUGAGUCGUAUGACUAGUAGUUCUUUGGUUAUACGUAGUUCAAAAGUCUAUUAAAUUAAUAGUAGUGACCUAGAGCACAAAGUUAUGGCGUUAUAAUAGUUUUACAAUUUUAGUGCGGUAAGUUGCGUUGAUUGUGAGCUACAAGUGUUUUGUUGCAUUCUGCAUUUUGAUUUUAGAGUUAGAAUUGUUUCAAUACUCAUAAAAAUAAAAUUGUAUUGUAUAA